rnacentral:misc_RNA from 1 species
GAUGAAGAACGCAGCGAAAUGCGAUACUUGGUGUGAAUUGCAGAAUUCAGUGAAUCAUCGAGUCUUUGAACGCACAUUGCGCCCCCUGGUAUUCCGGGGGGCAUGCCUGUCCGAGCGUCAUUGCUGCCCUCAAGCACGGCUUGUGUGUUGGGCCCCCGUCCCCGGUUUCCCCCGGGGACGGGCCCGAAAGGCAGCGGCGGCACCGCGUCCGGUCCUCGAGCGUAUGGGGCUUUGUCACCCGCUCUGUAGGCCCGGCCGGCGCCAGCCGACACCCAACUUUAUUUCUAAGGUUGACCUCGGAUCAGGUAGGGAUACCCGCUGAACUUAAGCAUAUCAAUAAGCGGAGGA